rnacentral:rRNA from 1 species
CACGGGGGGGGCAAGCGUUGUUCGGAAUUACUGGGCGUAAAGCGUGCGCAGGCGGCGCGUUAAGACAGGUGUGAAAGCCCCGAGCUUAACUUGGGAAUUGCGCUUGUGACUGGCGUGCUGGAGUGUGGCAGAGGGAGGUGGAAUUCCACGUGUAGCAGUGAAAUGCGUAGAGAUGUGGAGGAACACCGAUGGCGAAGGCAGCCUCCUGGGCCAGCACUGACGCUCAUGCACGAAAGCGUGGGGAGCAAACAGG